AUUGUCAACUCUUUCCUAACAUGAACUGAAGCCAUGUCUCAUGUGCCCUUUCAUCCACUGGCACAUAGAAUGUUUCCUCUCCAAUCACUUCAAAUCCUGUCCUGCACUGAAGUCAAGCCUCUGAACACCUCAACUCAUGCCUCAUACUCUCAUUCAACCACUACUGUGAUCCCUUCCCAAAACCGGGUGAAAAUCAUCACUCCCCAAUCAGUCAACAAUCAAUCAUCAAUCAGAAGACACACCUCCUCCUAUUUCCUAACCUAUCACAGUUCCUUCCCCAUGGUUUGUUCUAGAGCUCAAUCUCUCUGUAAAUGCCAUGUCUGUAGGUCUCUGUGUUUCACUCUCGCUUUGUGUCUUAACCUCUCUUUUGUUUAAGCACCUCAUAGCACUUUGUCAUCACCUGUGAGUAUUGUUUUUGGUUAUGGUGUUUGUUUGUUGCUGGUGGGAAAAGGGGGAAACCAAGACAAGGCAUACACUACCCGUAGGUGAACUUUGUUAAAUACACUAGUUAGAACUGGGCGGACCACCCACUGUCUUUUUGGUUAGUUAGUUAGCUGUUGUUAAAGUAGUCUAGUCUAGCUUAGGGGUGUUUUUGUAUACUUAUUGUUUCUUUCCUUGGGUCCAGCUCAGCCCCUUUUCCUGCUCCCCCCAUUACCGUGUGUUUAUAAAUAAACCUGGAGUUUGACGGUA